UACGGGGGGAGCAAGCGUUGUUCGGAUUUACUGGGCGUAAAGGGCGCGUAGGCGGCCUCUGCAAGUCGACUGUGAAAUCUCCGGGCUUAACCCGGAAAGGUCAGCCGAUACUGCAGGGCUAGAGUGCAGAAGGGGCAACUGGAAUUCUCGGUGUAGCGGUGAAAUGCGUAGAUAUCAGGAGGAACACCGGUGGCGAAGGCGGUUCUCUGGGCAUGUCCUGACGCUGAGGAGCGAAAGUGUGGGGAGCGAACAGG
rnacentral:rRNA from 1 species